AGUUCACGGCAGCCUUGAGCCCUGGUGGUUCCUGGGUUGUCCGUGAACAUC
rnacentral:ncRNA from 2 species